GUUGUGGCUCAGUGGCAGAGCGCUUGCCUAGCAUGUGUGAGGCACUGGGUUCGAUUCUCAGGACCACA
rnacentral:tRNA from 1 species